GCCCGAGUGGCGGAACUGGCAGACGCACAGGACUUAAAAUCCUGCGAGCUUCAAAAGCUCGUACCGGUUCGAUUCCGGUCUCGGGCACCA
rnacentral:tRNA from 1 species